UAAUUAACUUUUUCAAUUUUUCCGCCGAUUACGAAUUUUAUUUAGUUAAUUUAUCUUUCUACUCUUCCAUACAUUAGAAAAUUUUGAUUCUUUUUCGAGAAGAUAGUACUUUUUAUAUAAAAUUUUAUUUGUUGAAUUAACAUACGAACCGAACUCAUUAAUUAGCUUAAAACGCGCUAAUUAAUAAUUGAACGCAUUCCAUGCGCUCGAUGCAGCCCGCUUGGUACCGCUAGUACUAGAUUGGCGUAUCGAGACGCGCACCCGGCUCGGCGCACGCCGCCACCACGACGGUUUUCAACUGGAGGGAAGGACUGGGGAAAAUAAGAAGCGACGCGCUAGCCAGAGGAGAAGAGUUCCUACACCACCACCACCGAGAGUACUAGCACCAGCUCCAGCACCAGCACCAGCAGUCACAGUCGCCGCAGUCCGCCCCGCAGAAGCCAGCACCGAGACACCGCCGCCGCCUAGCAGUUGGGAAGCCUGCCCGUCCUCCGUUUUUAUUGAAUUCACCGUCGCUCCGAAACCGCCCGCAAGAUUUGCUCCAACCCGGUGACGAGACUCUCCGCAUCGGAGCCAAUUUAAGCGCUAGGUGUCUCAACUAGCCACCUACACAUCGCCUUGCCUUCCGCCCUGAUUAAGAAGAAAGACAUUUUUCUUUGAAUCUAAAAUAAACUUUUGACUUGUAAAUAGUUUUGGGAAAACACGACCUGCUCUUUAUUUUAUAACUACA